rnacentral:rRNA from 1 species
GCCUGGGGAGUACGGUCGCAAGACUGAAACUCAAAGGAAUUGACGGGGACCCGCACAAGCAGUGGAGUAUGUGGUUUAAUUCGAAGCAACGCGAAGAACCUUACCAGGUCUUGACAUCCCCCUGACCGCAUCGGAGAUGGUGCUUUCCUUCGGGACAGGGGAGACAGGUGGUGCAUGGUUGUCGUCAGCUCGUGUCGUGAGAUGUUGGGUUAAGUCCCGCAACGAGCGCAACCCUUGAUGUUAGUUGCCAGCAGGUGAGGCUGGGCACUCUAAGAUGACUGCCGGUGACAAACCGGAGGAAGGUGGGGAUGACGUCAAAUCAUCAUGCCCCUUAUGACCUGGGCUACACACGUACUACAAUGGCCGGUACAACGGGAAGCGAAGGAGCGAUCUGGAGCCAAUCCCAGCAAAGCCGGUCUCAGUUCGGAUUGCAGGCUGCAACUCGCCUGCAUGAAGUCGGAAUUGCUAGUAAUCGCGGAUCAGCAUGCCGCGGUGAAUAUGUUCCCGGGUCUUGUACACACCGCCCGUCACACCACGAGAGUUUACAACACCCGAAGCCGGUGGGGUAACCUGAAGCGUUUCGCAAGAAACGCACAUCGGAAGCGAUGCUCAGGGGCCAGCCGUCGAAGGUGGGGUAGAUGAUUGGGGUGAAGUCGUA